rnacentral:lncRNA from 1 species
GUCCUCCUUAAGUUUGACCAUACCUGCAGACGUGGUGUAUUCAUGGAUGUAUUUACUGUGGGUUUCUUUUUGGAGCAUUGCUGCUGCUUUUGACUUGUCGUCUCUGGCGCAUGUAGUGUUAUUCUCUCUCAGCCGUCUUGCUGCUCUUUUCGCUUUCCAGUGGAGUUCACUUUCGCCUUUCCUCUUCUUUUUGUCCUUCUCGGCAUUAAUUGUUGGCUCCCGUCUGAUUCUUUCCGCUUCUGGUGGGUCGCAUUCCUUUGGGAUCGGUUCUAUUGUAACAGCCAUCUUUUUCCGGUCCAUUGGUUGAGUUGCAAUUUUAUUCGGGCCGUAGCGGUGCACAUCUUUAACAAAUUGUAGAAGGUCAAUAUCUCCUAU